rnacentral:rRNA from 1 species
GAUGAACGCUGGCGGCGUGCCUAAUACAUGCAAGUCGAGCGAACAGACGAGGAGCUUGCUCCUCUGACGUUAGCGGCGGACGGGUGAGUAACACGUGGAUAACCUACCUAUAAGACUGGGAUAACUUCGGGAAACCGGAGCUAAUACCGGAUAAUAUAAUGAACCGCAUGGUUCAAUAGUGAAAGACGGUUUUGCUGUCACUUAUAGAUGGAUCCGCGCCGCAUUAGCUAGUUGGUAAGGUAACGGCUUACCAAGGCAACGAUGCGUAGCCGACCUGAGAGGGUGAUCGGCCACACUGGAACUGAGACACGGUCCAGACUCCUACGGGAGGCAGCAGUAGGGAAUCUUCCGCAAAGGGCGAAAGCCUGACGGAGCAACGCCGCGUGAGUGAUGAAGGUCUUCGGAUCGUAAAACUCUGUUAUUAGGGAAGAACAAAUGUGUAAGUAACUAUGCACGUCUUGACGGUACCUAAUCAGAAAGCCACGGCUAACUACGUG